AUUGAACGCUGGCGGCAUGCCUUACACAUGCAAGUCGAACGGCAGCGGACCUUCGGGUGCCGGCGAGUGGCGAACGGGUGAGUAAUAUAUCGGAACGUACCUUUCAGUGGGGGAGUAACGUAGCGAAAGUUACGCUAAUACCGCAUAUUCUGUGAGCAGGAAAGCAGGGGAUCGCAAGACCUUGCGCUGAUUGAGCGGCCGAUAUCAGAUUAGCUAGUUGGUGAGGUAAAGGCUCACCAAGGCGACGAUCUGUAGCGGGUCUGAGAGGAUGAUCCGCCACACUGGAACUGAGACACGGUCCAGACUCCUACGGGAGGCAGCAGUGGGGAAUUUUGGACAAUGGGCGCAAGCCUGAUCCAGCCAUGCCGCGUGAGUGAAGAAGGCCUCGGUUGGU
rnacentral:rRNA from 1 species